UACGGAGGAUGCAAGCGUUAUCCGGAUUCAUUGGGUUUAAAGGGUGCGCAGGCGGAGAGAUAAGUCAGUGGUGAAAAACUGCCGCUCAACGGUAGUCUUGCCAUUGAUACUGUCUUUCUUGAGUAUGGAUGAGGUAGGCGGAAUGUGCAGUGUAGCGGUGAAAUGCAUAGAUAUUGCACGGAACACCAAUUGCGAAGGCAGCUUACUGGACCAUUACUGACGCUCAGGCACGAAAGCGUGGGGAU
rnacentral:rRNA from 1 species